UUUAACAUAAAUUAUUAAUAAACAAUUCUUAUUAUUUUACUAGGCGUCUUCCCGGUAUCACAACACUUCAUCAUCUUUUGUCACCGUCACUAACACUGCCUUCCACUUCUCUUGGUUGUGUGUUCGCUCUUGCUAAUUCACUUCCAACACUUAAUUUCUCUAGAUCUUGUUUGACCAAUGCUGACUCUGCUGUCGAAUCGUCUACUGUUUUCUCCUACGUCGAUACCACAGUUCGUAGUCGUAUAUACAACGUAGACCACAGAUACUUUUUAGUAUACUAGUAGUUUGUUCUCGAACGACAUUG